GCCGUAUGAUAUUGAAAAACCAAUUCCCGUACGAUAAGAGAAGUUAAGCAACGUCGAGCCUGGUCAAUACCUAGAUGAGUGACCGCUUGGGAAUACCGGGUGCUGUAAG